ACAUCUACGGUCAAGAUUCCUUCCUUCACCAAUUUUUCUCUGUUCUUCUCCCAUUCACUCACAGAUCUCUCUCUUUCUCAACUCCCUCCUCUCUCCCCUCACUCCUCCAGCCCCAAGCUCCGACCACCGCCGUCGCCUCCAUCAGAUCCGCCACCACCAACCGCUUACUCCUCUUCCCCUUCAACCCGCCUCCUCGCCACCGCCUCUCUCUCCUCGUCAUCUCGCCGUCGCCGUCCUUCUCUCUCCUUCACAUCUCUGACAAAACUCCCCCCGCCGGACCCUCCCCUCCCCCUCCGUAACCCACGUCCAGUGCGAUGUCUCCGACCCCGGCGACGCCCUCUCCAAGCUCCCCCCCCCCUCCGACAACACCCACCUCUUCUACGUCUCCCUGGCCCACCGCGGCUCCGAGUCCGGCAACAUCCCCGCCAACUCCUCCAUGUCGAUUUCCUUGAAAGAGUUGGCGAUUACGGGGAUUGAUGAUCGGAGAUAUUGGAAUUAUAUUCCAACUGAGGAAUCUAGGUGUGUGUGAUAUGAAGAUUGAUCCUCAAAACUUCACACCUUAUUAAUCUCUAUACAGUGUGAUGAGCUUGUCGAACAAGGUGCUUCGGUUGGAGAAACUCAUGCAGCUGUAGUCAAGAAGUGCAAGUAUACUAUAGCAAUGCCAUCUGACCCUAAAGCUGCUCUCUCGGUUGUUUUUGACAAAGAUGGGGUGCUCAAUCAAAUAUGUGAGGGAAAAGGCUAUAUCGACAUGUCCAUAGUUGAUGCAGAUACUUCUUCUAAAAUAAGCGAGAAGAAGCAAAUGAGAUAGUUUGUGAGAUAGAUUACAAAAGUAUUUUGGAGCUCAAGAACAACGAGUUGUCGGAUAAUGUGUGGACUAAUUUAGGUGUUUCUUGACUAAUUUGGUUGUAUGGACUUGUUGAUGUAAGUGAACUUUGAUGGUGUAUGAACUUAUUGAUGUUGUUCGGUUUUAAAUUGUUGGUAAGUCAUGUGGUUUUAUUGUUGCAAUGACGAGCUCAAGAGCAACGAGGUGUUGGAUAAUGUAUGGACUAAUUUGGGUGUUUCUUGACUAUUUGGUUGUAUGGACUUGUUGAUGUAAGUGAACUUUUGAUGAUGUAUGGACUUCUUGACUAAUUUUGGUUGUAUUGAAUUAUUUGUAUUGCGAAAUA